rnacentral:rRNA from 1 species
AGUGAACGCUGGCGGUAGGCCUAACACAUGCAAGUCGAACGGCAGCACAGUAAGAGCUUGCUCUUACGGGUGGCGAGUGGCGGACGGGUGAGGAAUACAUCGGAAUCUACUUUUUCGUGGGGGAUAACGUAGGGAAACUUACGCUAAUACCGCAUACGACCUACGGGUGAAAGCAGGGGAUCUUCGGACCUUGCGCGAUUGAAUGAGCCGAUGUCGGAUUAGCUAGUUGGCGGGGUAAAGGCCCACCAAGGCGACGCUCCGUAGCUGGUCCGAGAGGAUGGAUAGCUAGCUGGGAGGAGAGACAGGGCAGAGACUCCUGCGGGAGGAAGCAGCGGGGAAUAUUAGAGGAUGGGGGAGAGGGUGAUCCAGGACAAGGGGGGGGGUGAAGAACGCCCUAGGGUGGUAAAGCGAUUUUGUUGGGAAAGAAGAAAAGCAGGUUAAGCUGGCGCGAUAAUGACGGUACCAGAAGAAGAAGCACCGGCUAACUCCGUG